rnacentral:rRNA from 1 species
AUGGAGGGGUUCGGCGACCGGAGUUUUCACGGAGGGAGGCGCGAGGGGUUCGGAUCUGGCCGGAUGGGGCACGGGGCCGGUCGCUUCGAUCGCGGCCGGGGACGCGAGCGCUUCUCCUGGUACAGGGAAGAAGAAGGCGACGACAUCUCCACCAACAAGAAGACGGCGUCGGCCUCCGACAACACCGAGCAUUGGGACGAGGCAGCGGAGCGUGCCAAGCGGGCGAGAUCUGGGGGGGUUGGGUGGAGAAGAACCCUAACAUCUCCGGAUCUAAAGCAGCGCUCACGNNNNNNNNNNNNNNNNNNNNNNNNNNNNNNNNNNNNNNNNNNNNNNNNNNNNNNNNNNNNGCCCCCUUCCAAGGCUUAUGAUCCAUGUCUUAUUUGCAAAGCUACUAGCCAUUCUCCUGCUAGUUGUCUGCAAGCCUUUUGUGAAAGAUGCAGUAAAAUGGGUCAUCUGGCAUCGGUGUGUGUUACCUUCCUGCCUUGGGAGUGCGUUGCUCCCAUGUGUGCCUUCCAGGCCAAGGGGCAGGGAUUCUUUUACAUCCCUGAUUCAUGCACUGCUAAGCAGCUUAAGGAAAGAUCUACCAGCGUAGUGAUUACUGUCAUAGAGGGGGAAGCUAGUGUUAAGGAAUUAGAAGAGGCAUUUUCUGAUUAUAUUGGGACCAAGUGGCACUGCACUGCUCGGACUAUUGGUCCAAAUACGUAUGUCAUGAGGUUUCCCAAUCAAAGAGAUGUGAAAAAAGCAUGCUAUAAUGAUAGAAUGAUCCUUAAAUAUUGUGGUGUGGUAGUUAAGAUUGUUCCCUGGUCGGCCAACAUUGGGGCUAAGGGAGCCAUGGAGAUGGCAUGGGUAAAAGUUGCUAAUAUUCCCAUGGAAAGAAGGAAUGAGAGGAAUGUUGCUUAUGUCUCUUCCCUGGUGGGCGUCCCGCUCGAGAUCGACAUGGCCACCCUGCACAAACCUGAAUUUGUCAGGGUUCGGCUGUGCUGUCGCAAUGUGGAUGAGCUCCCUGGGGUUGUUGAGGCAGUGCUAGGCACGCACUUCUUUGAUUUUUUCUAUGAAAUCGAGAAGGUGCUGGUGCGUGAUCUAGAGAGAGAAAAAAAGGUCGUGCAGAUGGAGGCGGAUGCUAAAAAAUCCCCCUAUGUGAGAACAUCUACCUGGGGUAAACAUGACCCUAAGUCUGGAUACAAAGGAAAAAAUGAGGGAUGCAGCAAGAAUGGGGGUGAUGGGGAUGAUGACCCUGUCGAUGCAAAGGAGGAAGAAAGUGUGGAAUCUGAUGAGUCAGAACAUAAUACAUUGCUGAUUGAAACUAUGGUUGUGGAGGCUUAUAACAAAGAAAAAACAUAG